rnacentral:tRNA from 2 species
GGAGGGUUGGCAGAGCGGUUGAAUGCACCGGUCUUGAAAACCGGCAAGGGUUUAUCCCCUUCCAGGGUUCGAAUCCCUGAUCCUCCG